UUGCUAACCUGUGAUUUUCAGUCUGGAAGGCAAGUGAAUGUCAGGGAGGAGCUGGAGAGUGUGCAAAUAGAGAGUGGCAUACGUUCCUGGCUCGCUGGUACAACACUGAGGCAGAAAGGACCUGUAGCUGCCAAGGGAAGUGGGCAUUUCCUCAAGUGUGGAAAAUGGAGAGCUGACUGGAUCCAUGCUGCAAAGAACUCCUUGUCCACUGGUGGUUGUCCAUAUUAGCAUCAAAGAUCACAAGUUGCAGAGAGAGACCACUAUCCUUCUUGGACCUCCCAAGCAAGUUGCAGGAGCCUGGGGAACAGGGCAGGGGCCUCAGCUCUCCCAGUCAGAGCUCCUGGAGGCAAAGGGAUCAUGCCACAAGAGGACCACUGCGAGGAUUUCUCAGUUCUGGCCAUGCCGCAUGUUAUUACCACUUUUCUUUUCAGGAGCCAUCUCAUGCUGGCAUAUCCAUCUGUUUAUUGUGUUUCCUGUGUUCCUGCAAGGCAGGGCUUUGCUGGCCUUCUGACGGUGUCUGAGUGCAUUCACAGAUGAGAAGAAGGUGUGGAAAAAAUACCCUUUACCUGAAGCAGACUGAGAUUCCUGCAGUUGCUGGGCUGGCAGCCCACAGAUGGAUGAAUUUCCCCAUUCUCUUGUGCUGGAGGCACAAGCUGCAUUUUUGCAGGCUGUGGGAGCCACGGGAUCGUGGGUCUCUGUAAACCUGCUGGAUUUCAAGCAGCAAUAAAGUCCACUUUGAGCCGUGUCUAUCUAUGCCU
rnacentral:lncRNA from 1 species